UCAGACAGGGGAAACGACUCUAUUACUCUAAUGGAAGCGCCAUCUUGAUGCUAUGUAAUGUCUUUUUCUGUUUACGAAAAGGUUGAUUUAGCGGAUCGUACAUAUCAGAAUGACAAAUUUUGAGUGUUGCAGAUGCUGUUCAGUUUGCAGAGGUAUUUGAAAUGGAAAGAAAGAGAAAUAUGAACAUACAUUGACUUCUUUGAAUAUAAGGUGUAAAAAAGAGUUACACGUGCCAAAAAAUAUGUUGAAAAUUUGAAAACUGUUAACAAGAGCAUCAACGAAUAGAAAAAAGAACAAUACCAGGUCUGGACAUUUGUGGCAGCAUGCAAUUAUUACCAUGAAAAAAAUGUAGCUGCACAGAAGACACCGCAGAUCAUAAAAUUGCAUGUAAAAAGGGAAAGCAUUCCUUUUCAUAGAAUCAAAGAACUCUUUUAACCAAGUCAAGAUGUUAUUAGACAUGUUAUCAUAUAUAUACUAUAUAUAUAUUAGAACAUUUGUAUUUACAAAUAUAAGAAGUAUGUGUGA